GACAGAGGGUGCAAACGUUGUUCGGAAUUACUGGGCGUAAAGCGCGUGUAGGCUACUUCGCAAGUCGGAUGUGAAAGCCCUGGGCUCAACCUAGGAAGUGCAUUCGAAACUACGAAGCUUGAGCCCUGGAGAGGAAGGCGGAAUUCUCGGUGUAGAGGUGAAAUUCGUAGAUAUCGAGAGGAACACCGGUGGCGAAGGCGGCCUUCUGGACAGUGACUGACGCUGAGACGCGAAAACGUGGGGAGCAAACAGG
rnacentral:rRNA from 1 species